UCGUGACUCACCAGAUACUUCCAAAACCAGUUUGCAGGUGCCUAUGUUACCGAGCAGGUGACGCAACCAAGCUCAAGGAGGAGCUCGAUGAAGAUCUUGCCCUUUGUGUUGUUUCGUUCUAGUUGAUCAGUAGUGGAGCCCAGUUGGGGUCGAUCGGGGACCUUUGUCGCAUUUGGGGUUCUUCUUUUAUUUUGGUUCCGUAGUCGGACCUUGAUUGUAUCUGGAUGAUGUAAUGCUUUAUUCAUGUAAUUGUGUGAAGUGGCGAUUGUGAGCCAACUGUGUAUCUCUUUCCCUUAUGUAUUACAUGGGUUGUGUGAAGAUUACCUCACUUGCGACAUUGCUUUCAAUGCGGUUAUGCCUCUAAGUCGUGCUUCGACACGUGGGAGAUAUAGCCGCAUCGAGGGCUUUACAAGUUGGUAAUCAGAGCCUUCCCCGACCUUAGGAGCCCCACUGCUUGAUCAUUUUUAGCAGCCGAGUUGUGUCUAGAAAAAUGUUUUGAGUCAUUUAGGAUUAUAUAUAUCGGAGAGUUAGGAAUUCUUUUUACUCCCCAGUCUCUUCAUCGCUCUGGUAAGGCAUCCUGACGUAGAGUUUUGACUCUUCUCUUCUCAAAUUUCACUAAAAAAAUUUUAGGAUCACGCGGGUAUCUUGGAAUCGUUCCGAUGGUUUUAUGAUGAGAACAUUGUCUUGGUGCCUCCUGUCAGGGGUUUAGUAGAAGUGUCCCGGGGAGUUGAGCUCUGAGGUGUUGUCGUCAUAAUUUUAUCGUUGCAGUUCUGGAAUACCUAAGUUUAGUACGCUGACAUCGAAAAUCUCUUUUAUGCAGUUGUUGGUGAGAUAACCCCGAUAACCCAGUACUGAGGUGAGUACGGGAGUAUUGCCAUGACUCGUAUAACGGAUGCUUUUCGAAGGUUGAGGUAAACGAUUUCCGAAGGUUUCUUGGUUAUGUGUUGAAGGAUGGAUACAGCUAGAUGUAGGGUUUGCUAGUCUGGGUGAGAUAUUAUGCUUCCCCUGUAUCCCCAACACCCGAUUGCAUAACCGGAAAAUUUCGGGAGUUUCAUAGGUGGGAAUUCAAGUAGCUCUUAGGAUAUCUUUCCGAUGGAUGUAUGAUAUGAAAUUGGGGUUCGACGUCUAGUGGUCCGCCUAUUCACGGUUCGUUUUACAGUGGUCUUGCUGUGUCUUAAAGAGUCCGUGGCUAUGCCGACUCGGGGACGCUUCGUAUGUCAUGUGCACUGCCUUGUACAUGAUGGUGUUGUACGAUCGAGCCCGUGUAGGCCCCACCACGAAAACUUCGGACGAAAUCUCUAUCAUAUGUUUGUUCCGGCUUAUUCUGCAAGCCAGUCCUUUGUUUUUGUUUUGAGUUGUGGUAUUCGAGUUGCUUCAAUGUCAAGUGUUGAUUCCAUACCUUUCCGAAAUGGUGUUCUCAUACUCCGAUGUGAAUACCAAUCCUUCUCGACAAUCGAGAUUGUCAUGUCAAUCCUUUUCAACCGGCGUGUUUCUCUUCAAGUGGAUCCGAUCACUUCAACAUUAGCAAGACCAAUUAUCAUUUCUUCUCAACGGUGUUUGUUUCAUCCAUCUCCAAGUUGCCUUUGUUUUUUCCCGCCCACCCACCCUUUUUCCUCAAGGACUAAGAUGUCUUUACCAAGUAUCCUUUUAUUUUUGUGAAGUUUCUCCAUUCUUUUCCGUCAAUGUUCUUACCCGGUGGUUCUCAAGAAGAUGUUCUACUAGUUCGUCAUUCCUCAUUCCUUUCUCUUCUCCGGUGGAUUCAAGUCAAGUUUUGUUGAUCAUACCNNNNNNNNNNUAAGAUUUCUUUACCAAGUAUCCUUUUAUUUUUGUGAAGUUUCUCCAUUCUUUUCCGUCAAUGUUCUUACCCGGUGGUUCUCAAGAAGAUGUUCUACUAGUUCGUCAUUCCUCAUUCCUUUCUCUUCUCCGGUGGAUUCAAGUCAAGUUUUGUUGAUCAUACCUUUUUCCUCAUUUCAAUGUCUUCUCAUACCGGUGCACCUCAUUAUCAUUCUACUUCUCGCUAUUUGUUAUUCCGGAGUGCUCAAGAUAUCUCGAAGAUUCGUGUUUCCACUCUGCAUUCGUUCAAGCUCUUUCGAGAUUGGUAUCUCAUUCAAGUCAUUUAAUUCAACCGGUGCAACAUCUCUUUUAAAUCUUUUCAACGGUGUUCUUUUGAGUGGGCCCUAACCCACAGGUCUUUUCCCAGGAUCUUACCUGACUCUUCUAAUUCUUUCCGGAGUUAUUCUCAAAUUCAUUGCAAAGUUUGACGUAAGAAUGAGUUAUCAUCAGUCAAAUGUCUUCCUCCAAGAUCUUUCAAAUUAUUUUUUCAUUGUUGGCUCAACCUCUUUGUUUUUCAUUCUCCCGCGGUAUCUCAACAAUUCAUGGUGGUGUUUUUCGUCGUCAUUCUCGAAUUUUGAAGACUGAAGAAGAGUUUCUCUUAAAUCUUGCUCCAUUCUCUUCAAGCUUCAUGGUUCUAGAUUGAUGCCAUUCUCUCAUAAUUGUUUCGAUUGUGAGAAUUCUUUUCAUACCCAUCCGGAGCAUUUCAUGAGUUGUUUCCACUACUUUCCUCUGAAGGCCAUCAUUUCAUAAUUCCUCAUUCUCAGCUUUCAACUCUUGUUUUCCAAAUCUUACCGGUGAAUCAUUCAAAUAUCCUCUAAUCAGUUCAUGAUCUCUUCAUUCUCUUGUAUCUAAAUCCUCUCAACUAUCUUCGUUUUCUUUUUCUCCAAUUCUUCCCGGUGAUUUGUGCAUUUGCUACGUUCAAUUUCAAUUCUUACGGUGGUUCGUUCAAGAGUUCUCUUUCUUUGUUAUCAUAUCAAUUCAUUCGUCCUUUCCAAAUCCUACCGGUGGUUCGUAGAAGACCUUCUCAAGUUUUGAUAUAUCUCUUUUAAUCCUUUCUACGAGAAUAAGUAGUAUGCCACAUCCGUUGAUUGUCAUCAAUUUAAUUGGUGAAGGAUAAACAUAACAUAAUUCUUAUUAUUAUUUCAUCCAAGUGAUUAAUUCUUUCUUCCGGAGUUCGUAAUGGUAUCAAUUUCCCAGUUCUAAGUUGUUCAUCUCUUCUUUUCCGUAGUUCAAAGUUUUCUCAUUAUAUCGUCCUGAAGCUCCAUCUAAAUUAUCGCAAGGCUUCACCUUGUGUUCCCAAAUUCUAUUUCCUUCUAUCAUCCUUUUAUUACCGGAGUUCUUUAUGGAGGCUACAUGAUGGUUCACAAAGGAUUUUAAUUCAUUCUCGAAGCGUUCUUCAAGAUUCUUUUCAGCGGAGCUCAAGUAUUCUUUAUCUUGCAUUUUAAAGUGCAAUUCUUUCAACCAUAUCAUUUGAGGUGGUGUUAUGUCACUCUUGACAAUUUCCCUUGGUUAUUCAAGUUGUCAAGAUUGAGGUAUUUUAAGUCCAUCAAUCUCCUUGUUGGAGUUAUCUUGGUAUAGAUUUCACCUAAAGCCUUCCCUAAGGAAUGUCGCUAUUUUGGUGCUUAUUAAUGACCCAAGUUAUCUCUUUUCCAUCUUGAUGGAACAAGUUUUUCAUCUCUUUGGUGCUCUCAAUCAAAUCAAUUAUUUCCGUUAGUGGCCGUUUGUCACCUCAUAAUUUUGAGAUGUUUCUAUAAGCCCACUACAAGCUUAUUCUUUUCGUUUCGUUGUUGGUUUUCCAACAACUCCGUUCAAUCCUUCUUUUUAAAGAUGCUCUCUCAAAUUCAUUUGAGGUAGUACAUGUUGUUUUUUUCUCCAUUCUUUUAUUCCAAUGAUCUAUCUUCUAUUCUUUCUUCCGGAGGCAUUGUGAUGUUGCUCUCUUCGCUCAUCAUCUCAAAUUGAGAGGACCGUGUUCUUUCCAUGCUUACCCAUUUAACCGGAGUGUUGUAUCUUCUCUGCUCAAGUUCUUUUCAUCUUAUCAAGUCUUUCAUCUCUUUUCAGUUGGAGUGUUUCCCAAAUUAUAUCAAUCUUAUUCCUUCUCUAUCUUGUUUAACCAGAGUGGUUUCAAUAUCUAUCUUGUCACUUAACCUCUUGGGUCUCGUCGUAUCCCACGUUCCUCUUAUCUAACGGAUUGUUUGCAGUCUCGUUCAUCUCUGUUGUGCUCUUUCUUUUAAACUUUUCAACCUCUCAAGGUUCUUUGGUUUCACUCUUUUGUCGAAGAAGCAACUUAGUUUUACCUCUUCUCUUCCUCUUCCGUUUUCUCUCCGGUGCCAUCCUAGAUCUCGGGACGAGAUCCUCUUGUAGUGGUGGAUUGUUUUAACGCCCCAAGUCCGAUGCUCGAGAAUACUUCCAUAUAUUCCGGGUUUCGCCGUGUGUUUCAUUUGUGCUUGAUCUAUUUAUUUUUGCAUUGCAUCAUGUCAUCAUGCCACCAUUUCAUAAAUCUUUUGCAACUCAACUAAAUAAAUGGCAUGGAUCUUUGAUCCAUUUAAAUCGAGGGAUAUUCACAUGGUGAUUUCUCUUUAAAACAUAUUCAAAGUCUCCUACUAUUAUUAGGGAGCUACAAUAAAUAUUUCAUUUUUUGGAGUUGAUCAUAACAGACUUGCAAAUUAUCCUAAUGCCUUUGUUAUCUUAACUCUUGGUGUCCGACCUUGCCAUAUAUUCUUUCAUCAUAUUCCGGAGCUCCACCAAAAAUCCGAACAUUUUUGGACCUUCCCAACCCUCACUUCCUAUUCAAAUCAUUUGAUUUAAAUUCAAAUGAGUUUGAAUCUAAAUCUUUCAAUCAUGGCCUUUCUAUUUUUCUUGGAACGACCAUAUUUUUGCGAAUCCAGAAAAAUUACCCCCAUGCUCAAAUUAUUUCUCCAACCCUUUCUUUAUCUCCUUUUUCUUUCUUUGCUAUUUACUGCUUUUGCUAAAUAAAAGAGAGAGGGAGAAGAGAGCCCAGCCAGACCUCUGGCCACUCCUUUCUCCACCUGGGCCGACCCAGCCCACCUCCUCAGGCCCAGCCGGACCCACCUAUCUAACCCUAGCCCGACCAUGCUCUCUCUCGAUCCCUCGCUCUCUCCCUCGUUCCCCUCCCUGCGCCGCCACACGCACGCAUCGAGCCAAGGAGUGGAGCUCCCUGCACCCGAUCCCUUCGCCGGCUUGCCGCCUCCACCACGAGUCCUCCUCCAUCGCGCCGUCCCUACCUUCCCCUCGUCGCCUCCUCCCUCCGCUGUGCGCGAGGCCGUUCAGCCCCUUGCCCGGCCUCUGCAACACCACCACCUCCGUCAGCUGCGCCUGUGCGCCUCCUCCUCGCCAAGCCCUGUUGCCCGAGCGCUCGAGGAGAGGAGCUCCUCGAGCACCUUCGCCCGCAGGCGUCGUCCUCCAUGCCCAGCAGAAGCCCGCGUUGCUCGCCUCUCACCGCCGACCUGCCCGUCCUCGCAUCUCCGGCCUCGUCCCUGACCCGAGCUGUCGGAUCCGACCGGAUCGAGCUGGCCCGCGUCCACCACCACCACCUUGCUCUGUCGCCCGCUUCCCCUGCGACCUCGCGUCAUCCCGCUGCCCGUCCUCCCCGGCGUGCCCGACCUCUUCACCCCGUUGAUUCCCCGCUGCUCCUCCUCAUGCCUCGUUUAAACUAGCCUAAAUAGGUAGUUUUAUUAUGCUCCACCUCUUGCCAUGUUAAUUAACGUUUAAUAAUUGUUGAGUAUCAUAAACGAGAGAGAACUAAAUAAUUGAUGUGGUGUUUCGUCAAUAUGCAACUCGUUGCAUAUUGAGCUCCACUUAACUUGUAGUGUUGUUUGUUGCAUAUUGCCAUGCCAUGCCUCUUUAAACCGGACAUGCAUCAUACUUGUUUCUGCAUCAUGACAUGUUUAUGCUUGUGUGUUUACUAUAUUGUUUGCUUCUUUCCGGUUUGCUUCUCUCGUUAGCUUCGGUUUCGUUCCGGAGUUGUGAGGAUUCGUUCGACUACGUCCGUUUGUCUUCUUCAUGGACUCGUUCUUCUUCCUUGCGGGAUAUCAGGCAAGAUGAUCAUACCCUCGAAAUCACUACUAUCUUUGAUAUUCUAGUUUGCUCGCUCUUUUGCUAUGCCAAUGCUACGAUGCCUACCAUUUGCUUGUCAGCCUCCCAAAUUGCCAUGUCAAACCUCUAACCCACCAUGUCCUAGAAAACCGUUGAUUGGCUAUGUUACCGCUUUGCUCAGCCCCUCUUAUAGCGUUGUUAGUUGCAGGUGAAGAUUGAAGUUUGUUCCUUGUUGGAACAUGGAGAUGUUGUUCCUUGUUGGAACAUGUUUACUUGUUGGGAUAUCACAAUAUAUCUUAUUUAAUUAAUGCAUCUAUAUACUUGGUAAAGGGUGGAAGGCUCGGCCUUAUGCCUGGUGUUUUGUUCCACUCUUGCCGCCCUAGUUUCCGUCAUAUCGGUGUUAUGUUCCCGGAUUUUGCGUUCCUUACGCGGUUGGGCUAUAAUGGGAACCCCUUGACAGUUCGCCUUAAGUAAAGCUCCUCCAGCAAUGCCCAACAUUGGUUUUACCAUUUGCACUAACAACCUACCACCUUCCCUUGGGUUCUGCAGACUCAAGGGUUAUCUUUAUUCUAACCCCUCGGGCCAGUGCUCCUCUGAGUGUUGGUCCGAACUGAGCUGCCUGCGGGGCCACCUCGAGGAAACUUGAGGGUUGGUUUUACUCGUAGCUAGUCUCAUUUGAGUGUGCCCUGAGAAAGAGAUAUGUGCAGCUCCUAUCGGGAUUUGUCGGCACAUUCGGGCGGUGUUGCUGGUUUAGUUUUACCCUGUCGAAAUGUCUUGUUGUACCGGGAUACCGAGUCUGAUCGGAGUGUCUCGGGUGGAGGUCUAUUCCUUCGUUGACCGUGAGAGCUUGUCAUGGGCUAAGUUGGGACACCCCUGCAGGGAUUUGAACUUUCGAAAGCCGUGCCUGCGGUUAUGGGCAGAUGGGAAUUUGUUAAUGUCCGGUUGUAGAAAACCCGAAGUUGACCUUAAUUAAAAUACAUCAACCGCGUGUGUAACCGUGAUGGUCUCUUCUCGGCGGAGUCCGGGAAGUGAACACGGUGUUGGAGUUAUGUUUGACGUAAGUAGUUUCAGGAUCACUUCUUGAUCGCUACUAGCUUCACGACCGUGCCUUGCUUCUCUUCUCGCUCUCUUUUGCGAUUGUAGCCACCAUAUAUGCUAGUCGCUUGCUGCAGCUCCACCUCAUUACUCCAUCCUUCCUAUAAGCUUAAAUAGUCUUGAUCUCGCGGGUUUUGAGAUUGCUGAGUCCUCGUGACUCACCAGAUACUUCCAAAACCAGUUUGCAGGUGCCUAUGUUACCGAGCAGGUGACGCAACCAAGCUCAAGGAGGAGCUCGAUGAAGAUCUUGCCCUUUGUGUUGUUUCGUUCUAGUUGAUCAGUAGUGGAGCCCAGUUGGGGUCGAUCGGGGACCUUUGUCGCAUUUGGGGUUCUUCUUUUAUUUUGGUUCCGUAGUUGGACCUUGAUUGUAUCUGGAUGAUGUAAUGCUUUAUUCAUGUAAUUGUGUGAAGUGGCG
rnacentral:lncRNA from 1 species